AUUGAACGCUGGCGGCAGGCUUAACACAUGCAAGUCGAGCGGGGUGAUGGUGCUUGCACUAUCACUUAGCGGCGGACGGGUGAGUAAUGCUUAGGAAUCUGCCUAUUAGUGGGGGACAACAUCUCGAAAGGGAUGCUAAUACCGCAUACGUCCUACGGGAGAAAGCAGGGGAUCACUUGUGACCUUGCGCUAAUAGAUGAGCCUAAGUCGGAUUAGCUAGUUGGUGGGGUAAAGGCCUACCAAGGCGACGAUCUGUAGCGGGUCUGAGAGGAUGAUCCGCCACAUUGGGACGGAGACACGGCCCAGACUCCGACGGGAGGCAGCAGUGGGGAAUAUUGGACAAUGGGGGGAACCCUGAUCCAGCCAUGCCGCGUGUGUGAAGAAGGCCUUAUGGUUGUAAAGCACUUUAAGCGAGGAGGAGGCUCUUUUGGUUAAUACCCAAGAUGAGUGGACGUUACUCGCAGAAUAAGCACCGGCUAACUCUGUGCCAGCAGCCGCUGUAA
rnacentral:rRNA from 1 species